UACGGAGGGUGCGAGCGUUGUCCGGCAUCACUGGGCGUAAAGGGCGCGUAGGCGGCGCGGAUAGUCGGCGGUGAAAGCCCGGAGCUCAACUCCGGGUCGGCCGUCGAUACUUCCGGGCUUGAGCACUGUAGAGGCAGAUGGAAUUCCGGGUGUAGCGGUGGAAUGCGUAGAGAUCCGGAAGAACACCGGUGGCGAAGGCGGUCUGCUGGGCAGUUGCUGACGCUGAUGCGCGACAGCGUGGGGAGCAAACAGG
rnacentral:rRNA from 1 species